AACGAACGCUGGCGGCAGGCCUAACACAUGCAAGUCGAGCGAGGACUUCGGUCCUAGCGGCGGACGGGUGAGUAACGCGUGGGAACGUGCCCUUUGCUUCGGAAUAGCCCUGGGAAACUGGGAGUAAUACCGGAUGAGCCCUUUGGGGGAAAGAUUUAUCGGCGAAGGAUCGGCCCGCGUUGGAUUAGGUAGUUGGUGGGGUAAUGGCCUACCAAGCCGACGAUGCAUAGCUGGUUUGAGAGGAUGAUCAGCCACACUGGGACUGAGACACGGCCCAGACUCCUACGGGAGGCAGCAGUGGGGAAUCUUAGACAAUGGGGGAAACCCUGAUCUAGCCAUGCCGCGUGAGCGAUGAAGGCCUUAGGGUUGUAAAGCUCUUUCAGCUGGGAAGAUAAUGACGGUACCAGCAGAAGAAGCCCCGGCUAACUCCGUG
rnacentral:rRNA from 1 species